AACGAACGCUGGCGGCAUGCCUAACACAUGCAAGUCGAACGAGACCUUCGGGUCUAGUGGCGCACGGGUGCGUAACGCGUGGGAACCUGCCCUUAGGUUCGGAAUAACUCCCCGAAAGGGGUGCUAAUACCGGAUAAUGUCUUCGGACCAAAGAUUUAUCGCCUUUGGAUGGGCCCGCGUUGGAUUAGCUAGUUGGUAGGGUAAAAGCCUACCAAGGCGACGAUCCAUAGCUGGUCUGAGAGGAUGAUCAGCCACACUGGGACUGAGACACGGCUCAGACUCCUACGGGAGGCAGCAGUGGGGAAUAUUGGACAAUGGGCGAAAGCCUGAUCCAGCAAUGCCGCGUGAAUUAUGAAGGCCUUAGGGUUGUAAAGCUCUUUUACCCGGGAUGAUAAUGACAGUACCGGGAGAAUAAGCUCCGGCUAACUCCGUG
rnacentral:rRNA from 1 species